rnacentral:rRNA from 1 species
UACGGGGGGGGCAAGCGUUGUUCGGAAUUACUGGGCGUAAAGGGCGCGUAGGCGGCCUUCUAAGUCGAACGUGAAAUCCCCCGGCUUAACCAGGGAACUGCGUCUGAUACUGGAUGGCUUGAGUUUGGGAGAGGGAUGCGGAAUUCCAGGUGUAGCGGUGAAAUGCGUAGAUAUCUGGAGGAACACCGGUGGCGAAGGCGACAUCCUGGACCAACACUGACGCUGAGUGAGCGAAAGCCAGGGGAGCAAACGGG